rnacentral:rRNA from 1 species
GACAGAGGGUGCAAACGUUGUUCGGAAUUACUGGGCGUAAAGCGCGUGUAGGCUGCUCGGAAAGUCGGAUGUGAAAGCCCUGGGCUCAACCUAGGAAGUGCAUUCGAAACUUCUGAGCUGGAGUGCUGGAGAGGAAGGCGGAAUUCUCGGUGUAGAGGUGAAAUUCGUAGAUAUCGAGAGGAACACCGGCGGCGAAGGCGGCCUUCUGGACAGUAACUGACGCUGAGACGCGAAAGCGUGGGGAGCAAACAGG